GACUUUGAAAGAGAGUUAAAAAGUACGUGAAACCGUUGAAAAGGAAGCGAAUGGAGUUAGCAAUUCGUCUGUCAGAUUCAGUUGCAUGCACGCAGCAACGUUUACACUUUUGAUCCGCAUGGACAAGGUGUUUACGGGUGCAACGUGCAGGCAGCGCACUUUUGGCAGGCGAGCGUCAGCAUUGGUUGUUGUUGAGCGAUAAGGUUGUAAGGAAGGUAGACGAAUUUAUCGUUGUUAAGCCUUGCAUUCGCAUAGUUUUAUGGCAACCAAGGCACUGCAACGCGUGCUUUGCUGGCAACCCAACUUCUCGGUCCGACAUGUGACUGUGGUGGACGGCACGCCUGUGCACUCGAACUGCUGUCGGUCGCGUGUUGGUGUUUGCACAUUACGCGUUAAGGAUGCUGACGAUCAUACGGCUCUAUCCGACCCGUCUUGAAACACGGACCAAGGAGUCUAACAUGUGCGCAAGUCUCCGGGUGAUCGAAACCUGUGGGCAUAAUGAAAGUAAAGACCAUCCUAGAUGGUUGAGGUGAGAAGUCUCAUCGAGGCUGCAUCAUCGACCGACCUAUUCUGCUCUCAGAGAGGUUUGAGUAAGAGCGUAUCUGUUGGGACCCGAAAGAUGGUGAACUAUGCCUGAAUAGGGUGAAGCCAGCGGAAACACUGGUGGAAGCUCGUAGCGAUUCUGACGUGCAAAUCGAUCGUCGAAUUUGGGUAUAGCGGCGAAAGACUAAUCGAACCAUCUAGUAGCUGGUUCCCUCCGAAGUUUCCCUCAG
rnacentral:rRNA from 1 species